CAGCACCUAAAGUGGUCAGGAUGAUUAUUGGGCCUAAAGCAUCCGUAGCCGGCUCUGUAAGUUUUCGGUUAAAUCUGUACGCUCAACGUACAGGCUGCCGGGAAUACUGCAGAGCUAGGGAGUGGGAGAGGUAGACGGUACUCGGUAGGAAGGGGUAAAAUCCUUUGAUCUAUUGAUGACCACCUGUGGCGAAGGCGGUCUACCAGAACACGUCCGACGGUGAGGGAUGAAAGCUGGGGGAGCAAACCGGAUUAGAUACCCGAGUAGUCC
rnacentral:rRNA from 1 species